AUUUAUGUGGCUAACUAUCUUGUAAUCCAUACUCGUCCUCUGCUGCAUUUGACUGGAAUGUUAUCUGAUAACUGAAUGAAAAAUCUCAAAUCACACACAAA